UAGGGAAUCUUCCGCAAUGGGCGAAAGCUUGACGGAGCAACGCCGCGUGAGUGAUGAAGGUCUUCGGUUCGUAAAACUCUGUUAUUAGGGCAGAACAUACGUGUAAGUAACUAUGCACGUCUUGACGGUACCUAAUCAGAAAGCCACGGCUAACUACGUGCCAGCAGUCGCGGUAAUACGUAGGUGGCAAGCGUUAUCCGGAAUUAUUGGGCGUAAAGCGCGCGUAGGCGGUUUUUUAAAUCUGAUGUGAAAGCCCACGGCUCAAACGUGGAGGGUCAUUGGAAACUGGAAAGCUUGAGUGCAGAAGAAGAAAGUGGAAUUCCAUAUGUAGCGGUGAAAUGCGCAGAGAUAUGGGGGAACACCAGGGGCGAAAGCGGCUUUCUGGUCUGUAACUGACGCUGAUGUGCGAAAGCGUGGGGAUCAAACAGG
rnacentral:rRNA from 1 species